rnacentral:rRNA from 1 species
AUUGAACGCUGGCGGCAGGCCUAACACAUGCAAGUCGAGCGGCAGCGGAAAGUAGCUUGCUACUUUGCCGGCGAGCGGCGGACGGGUGAGUAAUGUCUGGGAAACUGCCUGAUGGAGGGGGAUAACUACUGGAAACGGUAGCUAAUACCGCAUAACGUCGCAAGACCAAAGAGGGGGACCUUCGGGCCUCUUGCCAUCAGAUGUGCCCAGAUGGGAUUAGCUAGUAGGUGGGGUAACGGCUCACCUAGGCGACGAUCCCUAGCUGGUCUGAGAGGAUGACCAGCCACACUGGAACUGAGACACGGUCCAGACUCCUACGGGAGGCAGCAGUGGGGAAUAUUGCACAAUGGGCGCAAGCCUGAUGCAGCCAUGCCGCGUGUAUGAAGAAGGCCUUCGGGUUGUAAAGUACUUUCAGCGGGGAGGAAGGUGUUGAGGUUAAUAACCUCAGCAAUUGACGUUACCCGCAGAAGAAGCACCGGCUAACUCC